rnacentral:tRNA from 1 species
CAUUAGAUGACUGAAAGCAAGUAAUGGUCUCUUAAACCAAAAAAUAGUAAAUUAGCAAUUACUUCUAAUGG